GCUCGAUGAGUAGGGCGGGACACGUGGUAUCCUGUCUGAAUAUGGGGGGACCAUCCUCCAAGGCUAAAUACUCCUGACUGACCGAUAGUGAACCAGUACCGUGAGGGAAAGGCGAAAAGAACCCCGGCGAGGGGAGUGAAAAAGAACCUGAAACCGUGUACGUACAAGCAGUGGGAGCACAGAGCAAUCUGUGUGACUGCGUACCUUUUGUAUAAUGGGUCAGCGACUUAUAUUCUGUAGCAAGGUUAACCGAAUAGGGGAGCCGAAGGGAAACCGAGUCUUAACUGGGCGUUAAGUUGCAGGGUAUAGACCCGAAACCCGGUGAUCUAGCCAUGGGCAGGUUGAAGGUUGGGUAACACUAACUGGAGGACCGAACCGACUAAUGUUGAAAAAUUAGCGGAUGACUUGUGGCUGGGGGUGAAAGGCCAAUCAAACCGGGAGAUAGCUGGUUCUCCCCGAAAGCUAUUUAGGUAGCGCCUCGUGAAUUCAUCUCCGGGGGUAGAGCACUGUUUCGGCAAGGGGGUCAUCCCGA
rnacentral:rRNA from 1 species